AAUGCUAUCGAGACAAAAACCCUCCAACAAAUAUACAACACAGAGGGGUAUAUUGGUCAAUUUACUAAUUAAGAAACCUCCCACAUGUGACAUUAUCCUUUCGUCAUUUUCCUUUUUUUUCUAUUUCUGUUGCUCCCUCUUCCCUUCAAGCUGCCACAGUCGCCGCCAUGUCGUCUCUCUCCACUCCGCCGCCUUCUUGUUUGUGUCUUGUUCUGUCUCUCGCUCUACUCACUGCGUAUGCGAUCUCUCUCGCUCUCCACGCUGCAAUGUGAUCUCUUUCUCACUCUCCUCAUUGCAAUUUGUUAUCUGAAGCUCUGUUUAUCUUAAGCUUUUUUUGCAAUUGAAAAAGAAAUUGAACCCGUUGAUGAAAGCAUGAUUUGGUGGAAUAUGCAAAGUUGUUGCCUCUGUACUGCUGCCUAUUUCCUGCUAUCACUAUAAAGCCAAGGUGAAGUCCUAGUGCCCGUUACAGAGGUCCGGAACCUGUAAGAGAUUUUAUGUACGUACAAAUGAAUUCAAAGUUAUACAAGUAGUUACUUGAUUUGAUUUAGGCUCCGUUUGAUCAAAUUAAGCUAUAAGCUAGCUGAAAUGAUAAUGGCUUGUGAGUGUAAUACUUGAAAUGAUUAUGUGUGUGGCUUGUAAUGAAAUUAUAAGCUGAAACGUUUUCUGCAAUAUCUGUUUUGCUGCAAAAUUCUAAUGUCUGCACUUUUUGUACAGAAUUUAUUGUUCUUAAUUUUUUGUAGGAAACUGGGUUAAUUAAUAUUUGUUCUGUUGAGUCUAUCUUAGGGAUACAAAACUGAAUUGGGACAAGCUUAUUAUUAUUUUUCUUUUUAAUACUUAUACUUUUGCAUAAUAGUUCUAAUCUUAUGAAGCUUAUCUGUUUUAGAAUGAUAAGCUUAAGGUUGAGUUUAGAGGACCUGGGCUGUAAACAACAGACAUAAGCUUGGCUUUGCACUUAAGUGAAUUAAGCUGAGAAUGACUUUAAUUGUUCUUGUGGUUACAUUAAAUUACUGUCUAUUGAGUAACUAAAGCCUCAUUACAACUGCAUAAUCUACUCAAAUAUGCAUUAAAGACUAAUAUUGAGAACUGAAAUGGUCUUCAAGUUGUUUGGUCACUAGGCUUAGAGUUUAAAACUUGCAUGCAGAAGUAGGGAGCAUGAUUCUAUUUUCUACAUAAUUGCCGGUGUUGCAGUUUUGGAUGAUAAUUUUAAUUUAAUUUUGGUUUGAAGUUUUUUAAUAUUUUAGAAUGAUAUGGUUGGUUUAAACUGCUGCCACUUUCCUGCUAUCAGUAUAAAGCCAAGCCAAGGUGAAGGCGUUACAAUUUUUGUUUCUUGUCUUUCUAUUGUGUAGAUCAAGGUUAUGAAUUUUGUUUCUUAUUUCAUUUGAUUCCUUAUCUAAGUUUCUAUGGUUUGUGUUCUCUAUGGUUGCUUCUACCAUGGCAUUUACUAGACUGAUUUGGUCUUUUUAGUUAACCUUUGUGAAGUUCAAUUUGCAAUUUGUGGAAUUUUUUAGUUAACCUUUGGCGACCAUUUUCUUUAAACCGUCGUUGACAUUGAUUGAAUACAUGCCAAUGAAAGAUGAAUAAGUUUAAUUGGAAGUGGCUAAAGAAUUGAAAACUGUAUAUUAGGAACAAUAAACUUUCACAUUUAACUUUACCUAUGAAACUUAUUCAAGGACAAAACUUUAACUUUUGGUUGCUUACAUAUGCUCUGCUGCACUUUUUAUUUAUAUUGCUCCAUCUCAUCUCUUUGUUGAAAAUAUGUAUAUUGAACAUGCCAUGUGAUCUUACUUUGGUAGUUGAAAUUAGAAGUUACUUGGAUAUUAUUUUCUUAUUCAAUAAAUUAAGAUUUGAAGGAUUUUUCAUGUUUUCUUUCUUCACUUUGCUGCUACAACAUACCUUUGGAUUUUUCAUGUUUUCUUUCCUUACUUUAUUCUAUAAUAUCUUGUGUGUUUGAUCUAGUCCUAUUUUCUUAAUUGUCUUGCGAGUGUAGUGGCUAGUGCAUUUACAUGAUUGUAGAUAGUGAUCGAAAGACUGAAAGGUGAAGAUCAUUAUUAGGCUAAACUUUUUUAAAAUCAACAACCAAACAUUGUCUUGCUGGAUUGUUAUAUAACAGGGUAGAUGUUGUGGAUCUCAAGCUUUUAGCUUUUUUUAUCCUAAAUAUUUUUAUGUGAUCGUUUGGUAAUAUUUGUUUUAAUGUCUGAAGUCUCAACUUGUGCGUAUUUAAUUUGCAGCAUAAGCUAGGUCAGGAUGCUUGAAAACAAUGACAGCGGGAUGUAGGUCAGGAUGACGUAGGGCAGCAGGACGCAUGCCAUCAAAGAGAUUCACAUGAUGUAGCCAACUCCAAGUUAUCAUAUGGUAUGAUUAGCUUGAAGCAACUAAUUUGCAAAUGGUGUCCGCUUGACAUGAAUUAUCUGAAACAACACUCGUUCAACAAGCUUAAAUGGGCAGUAAAUACAUUGAGAAGUUGAAGUUCAAGUUGUCUGAUGAGAGGAAGAAAAGGGAUUGACUUAUCAUGAUUUUGUUGUUAUCAUGAGAAUUGUUUAUUGCAUAUUUAAUUACUUAGUAUUUAGGGGGAAACUUAUGGAUUUUAUUUGUAAUGUCAUGUACUUGAAAUAAUGUUAUAUGUUACUCUUGUUUUUUAACAACUAUGCAAGGUUGAACAUGAUAUUAUUUGUAUCA